GAUGUUGUAGUGCUGCAACUUCCAUGCUGCUUUGUUAUUGUAAAGACUGACAAAGCAUCAUGGUAGUUGUAGUUCUACAACA